rnacentral:rRNA from 1 species
UACAGAGGGUGCGAGCGUUGUCCGGAUUUAUUGGGCGUAAAGAGCUCGUAGGCGGCUUGUCGCGUCGACUGUGAAAACCCGUGGCUCAACCAUGUGGUCUGCAGUCGAUACGGGCAGGCUAGAAUUCGGUAGGGGAGACUGGAAUUCCUGGUGUAGCGGUGAAAUGCGCAGAUAUCAGGAGGAACACCGGUGGCGAAGGCGGGUCUCUGGGCCGAUAUUGACGCUGAGGAGCGAAAGCGUGGGGAGCGAACAGG